AAACUGCGAAUGGCUCAUUAAAUCAGUUAUCGUUUAUUUGAUAGUACCUUACUACUUGGAUAACCGUGGUAAUUCUAGAGCUAAUACAUGCUAAAAACCUCGACUUCGGAAGGGGUGUAUUUAUUAGAUAAAAAACCAAUGCCCUUCGGGGCUCCUUGGUGAUUCAUAAUAACUUAACGAAUCGCAUGGCCUUGUGCCGGCGAUGGUUCAUUCAAAUUUCUGCCCUAUCAACUUUCGAUGGUAAGGUCUUGGCUUACCAUGGUCUCAACGGGUAACGGGGAAUUAGGGUUCUAUUCCGGAGAGGGAGCCUGAGAAACGGCUACCACAUCCAAGGAAGGCAGCAGGCGCGCAAAUUACCCAAUCCCGAUUCGGGGAGGUAGUGACAAUAAAUACUGAUACGGGGCUCUUUUGGGUCUCGUAAUUGGAAUGAGUACAAUCUAAAUCCCUUAACGAGGAACAAUUGGAGGGCAAGUCUGGUGCCAGCAGCCGCGGUAAUUCCAGCUCCAAUAGCGUAUAUUAAAGUUGUUGCCGUUAAAAAGCUCGUAGUUGAACCUUGGGCCUGGCUGACCUGUCCUCCUAAU
rnacentral:rRNA from 1 species